GACGAACGCUGGCGGCGUGCCUAAUACAUGCAAGUAGAACGCUGAAGGAGGAGCUUGCUUCUCUGGAUGAGUUGCGAACGGGUGAGUAACGCGUAGGUAACCUGCCUGGUAGCGGGGGAUAACUAUUGGAAACGAUGGCUAAUACCGCAUAAUAGUAGAUGUUGCAUGACAUUUGCUUAAAAGGUGCAAUUGCAUCACUACCAGAUGGACCUGCGUUGUAUUAGCUAGUUGGUGAGGUAACGGCUCACCAAGGCGACGAUACAUAGCCGACCUGAGAGGGUGAUCGGCCACACUGGGACUGAGACACGGCCCAGACUCCUACGGGAGGCAGCAGUAGGGAAUCUUCGGCAAUGGACGGAAGUCUGACCGAGCAACGCCGCGUGAGUGAAGAAGGUUUUCGGAUCGUAAAGCUCUGUUGUAAGAGAAGAACGAGUGUGAGAGUGGAAAGUUCACACUGUGACGGUAUCUUACCAGAAAGGGGCGGCUAACUACGUG
rnacentral:rRNA from 1 species